CAAAGUAGCCGAAGUUUGCCUUGAUGACAGCUUUGCACGCUCUUGGCAUUCUCUCAACCAGCUAGUCACAUAGACAGUGUGAGGGCAGACUAAUAGUUACUAGAGGUUAGUCAGUGUAUUUAUUAUAGACAGACUAAGAGUUACUAGAGGUUAGUCAGUGUAUUUAUUAUAGACAGUGUGAGGGCAGACUAAGAGUUACUAGAGGUUAGUCAGUGUAUUUAUUAUAGACAGUGUGAGGGCAGACUAAGAGUUACUAGAGGUUAGUCAGUGUAUUUAUUAUAGACAGUGUGAGGACAGACUAAGAGUUACUAGAGGUUAGUCAGUGUAUUUAUUAUAGACAGUGUGAGGGCAGA